UACAGGGGGCUCGAGCGUUAGUCGGAAUCACUGGGCUUAAAGGGUGCGUAGGCGGUCCGCCAAGUGCUUUGUGAAAUCCCACAGCUCAACUGUGGAACAGCAGGGCAAACUGGCGGACUUGAAGCAGGUAGGGGCUGGAAGAACAGUUGGUGGAGCGGUGAAAUGCGUAGAUAUCAACUGGAAUGCCGAUGGGGAAGCCGUCCAGCUGGGCCUGUCUUGACGCUGAGGCACGAAAGCGUGGGGAGCAAACAGG
rnacentral:rRNA from 1 species